GAUGAACGCUGGCGGCGUGCCUAAUACAUGCAAGUCGAGCGAACAGAUGAGGAGCUUGCUCCUCUGACGUUAGCGGCGGACGGGUGAGUAACACGUGGAUAACCUACCUAUAAGACUGGGAUAACUUCGGAAAACCGGAGCUAAUACCGGAUAAUAUAUUGAACCGCAUGGUUCAAUAGUGAAAGACGGUUUUGCUGUCACUUAUAGAUGGAUCCGCGCCGCAUUAGCUAGUUGGUAAGGUAACGGCUUACCAAGGCAACGAUGCGUAGCCGACCUGAGAGGGUGAUCGGCCACACUGGAACUGAGACACGGUCCAGACUCCUACGGGAGGCAGCAGUAGGGAUUCUUCCGCAAUGGGCGAAAGCCUGACGGAGCAACGCCGCGUGAGUGAUGAAGGUCUUCGGAUCGUAAAACUCUGUUAUUAGGGAAGAACAAAUGUGUAAGUAACUAUGCACGUCUUGACGGUACCUAAUCAGAAAGCCACGGCUAACUACGUG
rnacentral:rRNA from 1 species